UCGUGGAGUGAUUUGUCAGGUUUAUUCCGAUAACGAACGAGAUCUUAAUCUAUUAAUUAGGCUAGGGAUGUUUACGAACAUUCUUAAAAUUGUCAGCAAUGUCAAACUGCUUCUUAAAGAGACAAUACACGUUUUAAAAAUUAGUGUAGGGAAGUUUAAGGCAAUAACA
rnacentral:rRNA from 1 species